rnacentral:misc_RNA from 1 species
GGAAGUGGAGAACCCUGAUGACAAUAUUAUGAAAAUGCUUGAUACACAAUCUAGUAAUGAAAUCCAACAGGCCAAAUUAAAAGAUGGCAACUAUAUAAAUAAAUAUAUAUGUAUAUAGAAGUCCUGUCCAGACAUACAUUUCCUUCCAACAAGGUUGAGGACGUAAUUAGACAACAUUAUUAAGUACCCAUAUUCACUCCAAGUUCACAGGAGUACUUGACAGGAAACAAAAAAAAAUCUGUUAGAUCUAUCCCAUUUUAGGCCCUUAUUGCAGAGCUUUGCUGCUUGUGAUACCUGGUGAGAGUAGCAUCACUCAGUGAAGAAUCAGCAUCUCCCUGACAAUAAAAAUGAACAAAACUAGACCUACAAGUAUGUUAACAAUAUAUACUGAUGGGGGAUUUGGCCUAUGGAUUAAUGGAGUAAUCUCCGAACGAAUGGAACAAACCUCCCUGUCAUUGUCAGAAGAUCUAGUUGAUUUGAGAUUCAAACCUGGCUUUUCAGGUUCCUUGCUUGUUAUGUAGCUGCAACUUAAGUUUGUCACCUCACCAGUGGACACUGUGCUGGGGUUGAGUUUCUGUCCUGUGAAGUUGCUGAUCAUUAGACGUUUCUGAGGUUUUGGAAAUUCUUCGCCAACUGAUUCAUUGCGAUUGAUCUCUGGAAGACAAUAGCACCGAUCCUGCCCUUGCCCAGACAAGCAAUUUUCCAUGUCUUCGAAAGACUUAUCUCUGGUUACUACGCUUGAAAAAGAUGCUAUGCCUCUGCAGACUCCAGGUUUGUAAGCAUAUCUUGUGUAAUUGAUCUCAAAAGGUCUAUCUGCAGCUGAGCCUGCUGUGGAAGUCCCGGUCGCUGAGACUUCCUUGCGAUAAGGAUCAUUCUUCCCUUCUCCAGAAGUCAGAUUUUCAAUAAGGGUUAGAACAGUUUGCAUUUGGUGAUAUUCUUCAGAACUGGCGUCUCCAUCAUUCAAAUUUGAAGUUUUCGUAGGUUGGGGAGACUCACUGUAGCCAGAUGCAGUCUUCCAAUGGAUAUCCGCAACAUACGUUUUUCUUAAUGGCUCUGGUGGCCAGUAGUCAUUAGGGGGAACAUCUGCAUUUUUUUGGGUGAAGCAUUCAUCAUCCAGAGAAAGAAAUGAAUCUGCCAACUUUAUUGGAUCUUCAUCAUCACUAGUAUCAUGCAAAUCCAACCCCAUAUGUGGAUUAUCAAAACAAUUGGUCUGUAGCAAAUGCUCAUCAGAAACACCCUGCUGCUUCAGUCCUUCUGGAUGCAUCCCCAUAAUGCAGAUGUGAGAUUGCAGAACUUGUUCUGGAUCUGUCUGAGCAUCCGUAGGACGACUUGGUUCACCUUCAUCCUCGGGUGAAUGAUCGAUAUUUUCAUCUACUUUCUGCUUUAGUUUACAGAGAACAAAAUGCCUCUGGUUCGGAAGGAUGUUUUUAGAUUGGUACUCGUGUAUGAUCCAAUUGGUUCUGACUGGCUUAGAAUCAUGGACUUUCUUAUGAAACACUAGGGUCCUCUUGCUACCAAUCUCCUUCCGGGACUCCCCAGCUUUGAUAUAGCGAAUUUUUCCUGUGGCUUUCCAGAAUCCAGCCCUCGUUGUUCUGUUGGCUCGUUUACCAUUAGAAUACUUGAAAUCAGGGCGACUGAAGAAAUACCAAAUUUUAUCAUUUGAUGAUAGCAGGGAAUGGUCAGGCAGAUCCCGUGGCUCGUACUGGCAGAGAUCAAUCUCGCCAAUAAUAUGAUUAACAAGGGAAUCGUUGCCGUUGAUUUUAUUUUCGAGAUAAUAGGCGACGAUUUCUUCAUCUGUUGGAUGGAAUCUGAAUCCAACUUUAGAAGACGGACACCCCUCUUCAUGAAGGGGAUUGGACCGAGAAUGGGUGUGCAAAUGUGCAUUCAUUGUGAUAUCGCAGCUUGAGUCUUGCACCCUCGAACGCUUUAAACUAGCUCAGUCUGAAAAGCUUAGGCUAGUUUCCUCGAAAAAGGAAGAAGCCUGUGAUGUGUGAAAGUGAAAAAUGGAAAGAAAGCAAGUAACACAAGGAAGAGGAAUGGAAAAGAAAGAGAAAUAUAACAAAAUCUCACCCAACAAGAACCAGAUUUCUUCGUCCCUCUUCGGAGAAUUCAUUCAAGUUUCAUGGUUUUCCUCUGCAUCUUCACCGAGGAGUCGUCAGAGAAGCAAAGUGGAAGGUGCUAUGACAUUAAGGUGGGAAUAUAAAUGGUUGAAUGACAUCAACAAGACGAGGUUCUUCUCUCUUUCCUAAUCAAAGUUUCUACUUACAUGAGAAGUUAGCUAAAAGAAAGACCACUGGAGUCAGAAAUCCUCAUCGGCCCAUGGAAUGAGUGGGUCCCUCCAUGUCGGAAAUUCUCAACUGUCCGUACAUAUUUGUUUUUUAG